rnacentral:sRNA from 1 species
CCAAAGGCAUUUGCAGUGGAAAUCCUUUUUGAACGAGCGUCAGCGAAGUUCAAAAAGAUUGUAACGAAAAGCGGGAUAAUGC